GCUGUUCUCCACAGCAGCUGUGCUGUGUGACAUUCCCACCAGCCUUGCACAGGGACCCAGUUUCUCCACACCCUCACCCACUCUUGUCGUUUCUGUUUUUGUUUUUGGGUACUACCAUCCUAAUGCGUGUGUGUUGUGAAAAGUGUUCAGGAUUUUGCAGUUUGAAGAACAGGAGGAUCGCCCACACUCUCCCCGAGAAGUGGUUCACGUGCCCUCUUUACCUCUCUCCAAGUCGACAUGCGUGGUACGUGUCCAUGUGUCGUUUUGGGAGCAAGUUGCAGGCAUUUGGGUGCUAACAACAUCAGCUGACUUCUCCUGGGAUGAGCAGAGUGUCCCCUCGCCACCCUCAGGAUGUGCCAGAGUCCUGUCUGCUCUCCAGACCCUUUUGAACAUCCCCAACCAUCCCAGUGGCUGCCAGGCUCCCCACUGGUUCGCACCCAGCCUCUCAGUCCAGACUCUUUUGUUGACGACACCCACUUUGCUGGAGGUAGGGUCUAUGGUAGCCGUUGCCAACCUUAACUUUGCCCCCAGGAGAUGUUUACCAACGUCCAGAGAUGUUUGUGGCUGUCACUCUGGGGGGUGCUGUUAACACCCUACGACGUGUGGGGCGCCCCCACACCCUGGGGUACCCCACCCCUGACGUGAGCAGCUCUGUGGCCGAGAACCCUGGGCUGGAGGCCCGCUGAGCUCUGAGUCGCACGUCUCCGGCCAGAUCCUUGGUGGCUUGUGUGCUUGCUCAUCAGCAGGCAGGUGGCCAACAUCGGGCCCCCCAACUUCGGCCUGCUGGGCGAGGGGCAUCUAGGACCCUCCACUGUGCAGGUGGGGUUCCCCUUUGGCAAGUCCUGAGUGACAUGGGUUGCCCCACUUUGUCCCGAUGGAUACCCCCGCACCCAGGAACCCUUCCUGGUAGCAUCCACCACUCUGAUGGUCCCAGGAGAAGCCAGUGACCAUGCUGGGGGCUGCAGAUUACGCUGCUCGCCCUUCGGUCCUCUGCGUGGACGGCGACGCUCUGUAAAGGAAGACCUCCCUCUAUUUCCCCUUCGGCCCAGUCUCUUCUACUUUUUUUGUUUAGUUUUAGCUUUAGAUUUUUAGAAAAUCUAUCUCUGGAUUGAUGCAUUUCUGUUCAUUCAAAGUGUUAAGAUGAGUGACAGCCAUUAUUCUGUUUGCCACUCAGAUUGUCCAAAAUUCAGCCGCUGGGAUUUCAUUCUGACUGGUUCCCGUCUCCACGCGCCACCUCCUUCCAGCCUCACCCUCUGCUCCGCUGUCUCGGGCUUGGGAUGGACCCUUGCCCCAGUGCCUUCUGGUCCGGAACGGGAUCUCAGAACCAAGACCCCGGCAUGGUCAGAUGCUGCUGGUGUCAUUCUCUGAGCUGUUCCAUGAGACCAGCCUAGAUUAUAGAAUACAUAGGAAACGUACACAAAAACGAACGAGGACACCGUUUCCCUUUUAGACGCAGCGUUAGGAAGGCUCUUCUUAAACUGAAACUCUCGGUUUCUAAGAACUUCACUCUAUUACUCAGUUGCUUUGUCCCACAAGACUCGGUUUCGCAAUGUCAGCCUCAGCCCCAGGCGCCGGGGGAGCCUGCGAUUUCCCUGCGUCCUUGGUACGCAGCGCAGGCCAGCUGAAGAGCAUCAGCCGGAACCACGUUCGGAAGCCCCCUGCAAUGAUUCUCCUCCCUGAAGGGGCGCAUAAUCAAAACGAAAAAUAUUUGAAAUUUAACCGUUUCCUCGAAAUACCAAAAAUAACACUCUGCACGUAGACUUUUUUCUUUCAAAUCUUGAAAAUAUUUUGAAAAUUUAAGUGUUUUAAGGUACUGUACCACACGCGGCCCCCACCCCAGAUAAGAGAGGGGCUCCGCCGCGUGGGGUCUCAGCCUGUGUCCCCUCCUGGUGCCUUUUCUGUGCUCUCAUGUGAUGCUCCAAUGCCUGGUCGCACGGGGCAAGUGACCAUGCCGCCACCCAAGCGUGUCUCGCCUGGCUCUGUGGACCAGUGGGCUGUUCCGGCGCCUGCAGCCGGCCCUGCCCGCACCGAGUGUUCCUGUGGCCGCUUGGGGUCCCUGCGGAGUUCACCCUCGGGAUGCGGCAGACCCAGACAGUGCCCUGGGCUUCCGUCCUCCUGCCCGCAUCAAGCCAGCAUCCUAUGGCAGCAUGUCCUUGUCCCCCAGCUGCCCAUCCAGUGCCAGCCACCUGCCUCUGGGGAACCCGACCUGGUUUCGUGUCAGCAGGAGCAGGCCAGUGGCUUGUGCUUUCUCCCCGCAAGCUGCACACAGUCCCUGGGGGGCCGAGCAGGGCCGCUUCGCUCUGAAUGAGCUCCGUCCUCCGCACUGUGUGGCCUGGAGCAAGCUGCCCUCUCUGGGCCUCAUCCUCCCCACCUGUGAAAUAAGGCGAAUUGAGAAGCUCCUUCUCCUGAGGUGCUUGGGGCUUGAUGGCCAGUUAGGAGAGUGACGCAGGCGAGGGGCACGCAAGGCAUCAGGCCAUGGACUCUGGCACGUGAGGACACGGCUGGGCUGUCAGGAAGUGGCCUUCGAGGAACGGGAUAGGCUUUGCUCAAAUCCAGACAUGGCAGGUGUCCACCACCACUGCCUGCAAGAGGACGCCACCCCAUGCCAAGGGCACGCCCAGCCAGGUGCAGACGGAGCUAAGGACACAGGCAGGAGGGGGACAGACAGACGACAGGCAGCAGAGCCGUCCUGGGGGCCGGGAGUCUGUUGGAGACCCUGAGCUCCCUUCAGGACUGUGACCCCACCCCAGGGCAGGCCUGUCUCCCAGCGACGAGAACGUGACAGUGGGAAGUCGACGGAGGCCCUGGAUCCUGUGUUCUUCACCUGUGUCCCACCCACAGCCCCCCUGGCCACUGUGUGCUCCCUCUGGAAUCCUCAGGCCGGCGGGGACGCAGGAACACGCAGCCGUCUGUGUCUGGGCAUGGCCUGCGCUGUGCCCCCUUUUCUGGAGUUCUGGAGCACUGCCACACGGCCCCGACUCUGUCCAUCGCCCGGCUCCCCACCUCGGCCGCACCUCCCGCCUUGCCAUCACAGGCUGGGACAGCCACAGUCCACUCACUCAGCCUUCCGGGGGUGCACGGGUCGGGCAGGACCUGGUGUGAGAGCACCGUAGAGAAUUUGAACACCAUCAUGGAAUGGGCCAGAAGGGAUCUGCUCUCAUCAUCUCCGGUCUGUCAAUUCUGAAUCAGGUCAGGGUGCAGCUCCCUCGCUGGCCCCCUCAGCUGCCCUGGGACGCCUCCACAAUGUGCCCUUCUCUGGCCACAUGCGGCUGUGGCUCCCUCCCCUCCAGACUUCUCCACCCCUACCCGUGGACCGUGGACCACCCCCACGUCCCUGCACGUCACCACACAGCAGAGGGCCAGGCAGCGCAGAGGCAGGGCGAUGAGCACGGCGCAGAGGAGGCCGGUCCACCUCAGAGGAGUGACUGGGCCCUGUGGUCCCUGCGGGUGUUGUGGGGGACUGACAGGCCCCACGUUCCCUGUGCCUGGGAUGAGCCAGAGCCAGAACCCCCUGGCCUCGGCAGCUCCUGCAGGGCUUCACUGCCUGGCCAGGCCUGGCCUGGAGCCAACUUUUCCUCAUCGACUGUGGUCUGGGACUUUCCUGGUCAGGCUCCUUGCCACAGGGACAGCUGCCGGGGAAACCCCGUGUGAAAGUGGAGUCAUCCAGGUCAGCCCAGCAGCAAGGGUGCCGGUGAGGAGAAAGUAAACACAGCUGGGGCUUGCCCGGAGGAAACGGACGACCUGUGGUGGCCUGGUCACUGGGGGUGUCCAGCAGGGACUUCCCGUGGCUCCUAUGGCCUUUGGCUGAGACCCACGACAACUUUCACCAGAUACUUCCUCAAGGACCUGAAUCUGGGGGGGACUGUGCACCCAGAUGAAAGGUGCUGGAACUAGGUAGCGAUGAGUGCUGCACGAUGCCGUGAAUGACUUCGUGCCACUGAAUUGUGCACUUGAAAGUGAUUAAAAUGGUAAAUUUUAUGUGCUGUGUAUUUUACCAGAAUAAAAAUAAAUAAGUAAAUGGGAAGAACUCACACCCGUUUGCUGGGCCGAGCAGGAAUUACCUGGUAAGGUGGAGCCUGCAUGGACCCCCAGGGCCCCCGAGAUCUGCCCACCUGCCCUUUGGGAAAGCAGGGCCAGAGUGGCGUCCAGGAGCCUGGGCUCUCGUGGCUGGACCCAGGCAGAGCCACAGGCUGAGGCUUGUGGAGUAGGGGAGCCGAGAAGACCAUGCUGAGGCCAACCCCUCAGGGGCCCAGGGGCUCCAUGGGCAGCCCCUGCAGGGGGUGAGAGGACACCCACCUUCUCCUCUUCUCUGUCCUGGUCCUGACGCGGCCCAGAACGGCCCCUCCCAGUCACUU